rnacentral:rRNA from 1 species
ACGGAAGGGGCUAGCGUUGUUCGGAUUUACUGGGCGUAAAGCGCGCGUAGGCGGCGGACCAAGUUAGGCGUGAAAGCCCUGGGCUCAACCCGGGAACUGCGCUUAAGACUGGUUUGCUUGAGUCCGGGAGAGGGUGGUGGAACUCCCAGUGUAGAGGUGAAAUUCGUAGAUAUUGGGAAGAACACCGGUGGCGAAGGCGGCCACCUGGACCGGUACUGACGCUGAGGUGCGAAAGCGUGGGGAGCAAACAGG